CGAAGGUCCCCGGACAAAGAGGUGAUUUGGACCGCACCUCUAAAGCCUGGGAAAGAGUGAAGACAGUGCGUGACAGGCUUUUGAUCCCCGCCUCGCCUGCCCCCAAGUCACUGAAUGGCCGAAAGCACCCCGAAAAGAGUGUGGGUGGGAAAUGACUCCUGUCCAGCUGGGACUGCUAGGGCUGAAUGAAUAACGAAGGUGACAACUGGCGGUUUAAUAUGCUUGGCGGUGAAGGUGGAGAAUGCUGCGGGAUCUGAACCCCAGAUUUGCUACUUAGCCAGAGCGGAGUGCCCUAAAUGCUGAUGUUGGAGAGCCCAAGCAGGGCUGGUCCUGGGAGGUAGAUGCUUCUCGGGACAUCUGGGUCCCAUUCCACUGGAGGAGUCAAGUUCCUGCCAUGCUGCCCAGUCCUCUUUGCUCCGAGUUACAGAGCAGGCAUAACAGUUUCAGAAAGCAAACUCUAAAGUCUAGUUGACGCAUAGGGAAAUGACUUGGCAGGCAGCCACAAGACAGAGCUUCCAGCCCUGCCACUGCCAUGCUGUCUGACAGCUGAGAAACUCCUGUUUCAUCCAGCUCUGCAAAUUUAUUUGAUUUCGAAGUUCACAUUUAUUGAAGGAGGAAGCCCUUGGAACAGGAUAUAAAAGCAACACUUUCCACUGAGCCUGACAUCCUGCUUCCAGAUGCAAGUGGCUGAGCAAGCCCUGGAGGAACCUCUAAGCAGCUGCGACCAUGCUGCUCCAACUUCAAAACCUGAAUUCAACAAUUUCCACACUCAGCCCUCGCUCACCUCUCUGCUUCCUUGUCCAGACCCUCAAAACGAUCUGAAUAAUUUAUUACACUUUUAUCAGUCUUCUCCACUAACAGCUGGCACUUUGGAAGGCAAGGACCUUGCCUUAUUAGUCCUUGUGAUCUGGUAUCUGCUCCUAGGAAGAACUCAACCUAUGUUGGGUGGGAUGAAUUUUUGAAGAAGUUAUUGAGUUGUCAGGUCCAUGAUGGAGCAAAAUGACACAAAUGACCAUCCUCAGCUGGAGGCUUGCUGGUCACCCAUCCAGGAGGAUGCUUUGCACAGCUUCUAAGACUGCAGAGAGUCCCCAUGAACAAGAAGGCCCUCACCAGGUGCAGCUCUCUGACCUCGGACUUCCCAGCCUCUGGAACUGAUAUAUGGUAGCUACAUAUCCCAGAAUGGACAAGAUGGAAUCAUGGAGGAUCAAAGGACAUGAAUGGUCACAUGUCAAAUCCCAUGACACAGCACAACCUCAGUCUCAAGUUGAGUAAUAGCCUGUUUGGAUAAACUGGUCAGUGAGACUCCUCAUGUAUCUGGCUUAAAAAAUACAUUUCCAGCACUUAUGAGCCUGACGCAGAAGAACCACAAGUUCACAUCAGCCUAGCUUACAUGGUGAGUUCCAGGCCAGCCUGGACAAUAUACAGAACAAACCCUGUCUCAAAAAAAAAUUUUUUUUUUCCUUCACGCAGUAGCAUUGUCUCCAAGUCCCCAUGUCUCAAUGUUUCUGUGUGGCACCAGUUGAGCCUGAGCCCAGAAAAGCUUUACCACAUUUACAGGCAAAAAGUGCCAUAAUGAAGUUGAAGGAGGCAUUGAGCUAAGGGGCACUGCAGGCUGCAGCAUUUAUCACAUGCAUAUCGUGGCGGGGAAGCAAAGACAAAAGACACAGUCACGACAAAAAGUGAGUCUGAUGGGUGGAGAGCCAAGACCCACGUCCAGAACAACAAACCAACACAGGGACAAGGGCUCGCCACAGGCUUUCAGGGCAAGUUGAACUCUAAUCCCAAACUAUAUGCCCUGGACAUUUUACCAAAGUCUUCUUUGUCUUAAUUUCCUUAUAAAGCUGUCACUUGGUAUCCUUGGAGGAUUGGUUCUGGGACCCCCCUGAGGAUACCAAAAUCUUCCAAUGUUCAAGUCCCUUACAUAAAAUGCCACAGUCCUUGCAUAUAACCUAUACAAUUCUCUCCUAUACUUUAAAUCAUCUCAUAUUACUUUCAAUAUGUAAUAUGAUGUAAAUAGUUGUUAUACUGCAUUAUUUAGGGAGUCAUUACAAAAGUCCAUAUAUGUUCAGUUGCUGAUGCAAUUUUUCUCCUGAAUAUUUUUGAGAUGCAUUUGCUUGGAUCUGUGGAUUUGUAACCUGAGGAUACUGAGGGCAGACUGCAUAUAAUAGUCCAUCCUUAUUGGUGGUUUCAGUAACGUGAGGUCAACCACUAUCGGAAAAUAUUAAAUGGAAAUUGCCAAAGUAAACAAUUCAUAAGCCAGAUACAGUGCUGCAUGCCUGUAAUCCCAGCUAUGCAUAAGUCUGAGGCAGGAGAAUGGCAAGUUUGAGGAGAAUCUUGACAAUUUAGCAAGGCUGCUUCAAAAUAAAAAAUAAAAAGAGCUAGAGAUGUGGCUCACUGUGGGGCCUUGGGUUAAAAGCCCAGUACUGCAAAACAGCAAAAAUUAAUAAGGUUUUUUUGUUUUUGACAUGGUCUUGCUAGCCGUUUGGGCUGGCCUCAAACUUUUGAUCCUCCUGCCUCAGGCUUUCAGGUAGCUGGGAUUAUAGGAAUGUGCCAAUAUACUUGGCCAAUUCAUAGGCUUUAAAUGAUUUUGAUUACAGUACAUUAUUAUAAUUGUUCUAUUUUAUUAUUAGAUUUUUCUUCAGUGUGGGGGAUGGAACCUAGGCUCUUGCAGUGUUAGACAUGUACUCUACCACAGAGCUACAUCUCCAGCCCCUUAUUAGCUGUUGUUAUUGACUUGUCAUUGUGCCCAACCAAACUCUAUUAUAUGUAUGUAUGUAUGUGUGUGUGUAGAGAAAAAACACAUGGUAUAAAGGGGUUCAGAACUGGCCAUGGUUUCAGGUCUCCUUGAAAUAUCUUGGAAUAUACCUUGAUUUACUACUAUAAAUGAAAUGGAGUGGUAAUCAUCACAGUACCCAUUUCGUAGGCCAUCAUGAGGACAGCAUGCAAUAACGUAUAUGAAGCACUUUGGACAGUUUUGCCACAUUGUCAGUGUUCAUUGCUGCACUGACUAUAUUGUUAAAUGAAAUAGUACUUAUAAAAUGCCACACAGAAAUGGAUGUGGCGGUAUAUACUUAUAAUUCAAAAUUCCAGGACUCAGGAGGCUGAAGCAGAAGGAAUGCAAGUUCAAGGCCAACCUGGCCAAUUUAGUGAGAACUUGGUCCUCCCAAAACAAAACAAAACAAAAAAGUCCUGAGCAAUGCCUAGCACUAUCAAACGUUCAGUAUUGUUAACUGGCAGUACUGUUAUUACUUUUAUUAUUUAAAUUCUGAAUCUAUUGUUGCAUAACAAAUAACUUCAACACUUAGCAUUUAAUACAAUAAUAAACAUUUAUUAUCUCACAUAGAUCCUAUGGAUCAAGAAUUUGGGAAAAACUUCCAGCUUCAUGGUUCUAGCCCAGGAUCUCUCAUGAGAUUACAAACUAUUGCCUGAAGCCUGCCUAGAGCUUGACUAGGCUCUGCCUCUGAGGUGGCUUGCUCACAUGGCUGCCACCUCUUUGCUAGCUAUCGGCCCAAGGCCUCAAUUCUUCACCACAUAGUCCCUGCAGAGGACUGCUUGAGUAUCCUUACAACAUGGCAGCUGACUUCUUCCAAGGCAAGUGGUCUAAGAGAGCAAGGCAGAAGCCACAAUGUCUCUUAAGAGCUACACCCAGAAGUCACAUUGCAUAUCACAGUAUCCUUCCUGGCUACACAAGUCUGUGCUGUCUUUGGGGGAGGAGCUACCGAAGCACAUGAAUACCAGGCUGAGAGUCUAACUGGGUGCCAUUUUGCAGGCUGGCUACCGGAAGUACUAAAUUAUGUGACAGAGACAUGAGUUCUACAGGAACUCAGGUUCAGAUAAGAGGGAGACUAAUGAAGGUCAGAGUGCUAGGGAAUGUUCUGAUCACUCUUAGGUAGAUUUGAAUGAUAGCCUUUACCAUUUCUUUCUCAUCUUCCCUCAGUACGACUUGGAAAGAGAGGAAAGUAGGACUUUCACAAUCAGAAGGGUGAGAGGAAGCAAGAAAGCACAAGGAGACCUUUACAGAGGUGACAGGGCCUAUGUGGGGGUUGGUAGAGUACACUGACACUGGAAGGAAACAAAGUUUAUAAAUAAAUUGAAAGAUGCAGUGAGGCUGCUCAAGGAGGGCCGGGAAAGCCAAGUAAACAUGCUUAAACUAGCCAAAGUAAAAAGUAAAUGUUAAGGGCAUAGGCUUUGGCUAAAAGCAUGUUCAAAAUUCCUGCAGUCUUAUUUAAUAUGGGGGGAUUCAAGACUGGGUAGUGGAUUUAGAGAGUGUAAAAGAAAUUCUCCUCAAAGGGACAUUUGCUUCCACAGGAGCACAUCCUGGUGGGGUCAAGGCAAUACCAGGAAACGUACUUUAAUAGUUUCCUUAUAUCAGAGUAGGAAGCUCAAGUUGAUAAGAAGUUGGAAUCCAGCCUCCCAGUUGGAGGAGCCUCCCCAGGGGAAACCGUUGGAGUGGGAGAUAGUCUGUGUUUACACAGCAUGCCUUCUAUGUCUGCAGUUUACACAAACUGUAUCUUCUGGCCAGGCUGAAGAUAGAACCGCCUGACCUAGAAAAGCCCCAGUCUGGGCUCAGUGCCCAGCUAGCGCCGGGAGGAGCUCCCGCCCAGACCCACCCAGAUCCAAGCUCCUUGGACACACGGGGGUGGAGGCCACCCUGCACAAUGCAGACCUCACACGGAGGAUCCCACUCUGCAGCCAGGCAGAGCCUAGUCGAGGCUUGAGUAUCCUCCUCACGUCCUGCAGGGGGAACUACCUGUUCCGGUUCGUCUAGUUCAGAGCUGAGAGUGACACUUUCACUGGUAGACCACUUGCCCGGCACGUUCGAGGCCAAGCUAAAUCCUUGGGUUUGACCCUAGCACUUCAAAUUUUUACUAAAUAUUCUACUUCACUCUUAUUAGCAGGAGGGCAUACAUCACACCGCUAGCAUGACUUUGGCUCAUUCCUCAAAGCAACGAUAAAACCUAACGUUUGCAGGUUAGUGUGGGUUCACUAAGUGGUCCCAAAAGGACCCUUGGCGGUUUGCAGAUCGUGCUGCUGAAGAAGGUGGCAGGAGUCAGGCAUUUAUGGGUUUAAAUCAGCACUGUCCCUCGAGAGGGAGACCUUGGACACAUACGUUUUUACUGCUCAAAGCUUCAGUUUCCCUAUCUGGGAAAUGGGGAGAAGGCAACAGCCGAGAGGCUCUUUGACGGUGCCCAGCAAGUGCUCAAUAGACAACCACCCUCCUCACCCCAUUAUUCCAUUAUAUCCCAGGCCCCCUUGUCUUCACCUCAUGUUGUUACCCAGCCCCAGAUUUCCCUUAUUUUUUGUCCUCUUAAAAAUCCCCAGCCCCUGGCUGGCUGAGAGGUUUUGGCCUUGGGCAGCUGUACCUGCCUCCAACAUGGCACACAGCAUUUUGCUCAGUAGUAGCUGGUCAGUGCACCCACUGGGCACUCCCCUUAAUCUCUUUCCCCUGCUACUACCAGCACCUUGCCCAGUGCAAGCACACCUGUCUCCUCCUGCAGGGCAGCACUGGGCUUACUGGAGAAGGCACCAUCCGAGGUCAGUCCCCAGCUGUGCCUGUGGAGUCCCUGGGACACUUGGUGGACAAAGAGAUGGGAUCUCAGAGGCCUGGGGCAGGGAGGAGGAGAGAGGCCAAGGAGGAGAGAGCAGAGCCUCCCUCCUAGUCACAGCAAAGCCAGAAUUCACCUGGGAAGGAAUGCUUUCCCCAGGGAAGAAGUUAGGGGUAAGGAAAAGCUAGCCAGGCAUCUGAGGGCUUCCCUCCUAGCCCUUCCCACGACUUCUCAGAAUGGAGUCGCUUAAUGUGGCUCCAGCCCAGACUCAGGAUCUGAAAGAGUUCCCUGGAACUAAGGAGUGUCCUUCACAAACUCACACUAGGACAAAGUCCCUGAUUACCCUUGAGAUUCAAAGGGUUGGGCUAGAGUUAUAAAUUACACCUUUGUUUAGAAAAAAAAUUCAGACUCCAGGGCCUGAGUUCAGCGUUUUAAACAGCUUAGUGUUGAUCACCUCCCAGGCACACAGCCCUAGAGGCCACCUCGGCCUGUUCUCUAUCCUCUCUGAAGGAACCUGACUGGCUGCUAAAUCCUCCGGGGUUUGGCUUUGUGAAGUCUUCACAUUUGCUGUCACACCAGCCAGCCACUCUUGGCACACCUGUGUCACCAUAACUGCUGUGUCUGUUCCCUCGGGCUGGUGUCUCUCUUCUCUCAGUCCUCAUAGACACCGGUACCAGAGGAUUCCCCCUAAAACAGUGCAAUAUGACCCAAUCCCUGCUCCAAAAAUACCUCAAUAUUAGCAACAGAGUAAAAUCCCAACAUGCUAAUCUGGUAUCCAAAUUCUUCCCAAUCUGAUUACACCCUACCCCUUCAGCCUCUCCUAUGGUCAUACCUUGGUCUUUUUCAGCUUCAGGACCUCUUAAACCCUGUACGUGCUGCAUUCUGAUGAGAAAAAAAAUGCUUCAGCACUGUAGCAAACCCCCCACUUACUCAUUACUGUCUUGUACUUGCGCAUUUUAAGAGCUAAUCAUGGGACACAAAAAAGUUGAGAGCAAUACCACUAAGCCCAAAAGGCUUAUAUUAGUCCAAUAAAAGGCCAUUAGCCCAGUAAAAUGUGAAAGCUCUGGAGAACUUUCACAAAUUAUUUCUAAUUACAUUAUUUCUUAUGGGAAAAAUUUGUUCAGUACUCAGUUUCAGCACUCUUCACUGGUUCCAGAACAAAUGAACAAGUACCGAGGCAUGACUUUGUCGUUGGUUCUGAGCAAACUGGCUUCCAUGUUCUUGGGCACAUGCUGGCUCUCGGGCUGCUCCAUCUGCCUGGAAAGCCAUGCCUCUGUCCACUUGCUGGAGGCUCCUGGCCACUUCCCAUGGAUCAGCCCAUUCUGUGGAAAUGGCCACAAGCUCCGGGCAACUAUUGCAUGUGUCAAACAUGGCCACUGUCACUGAGGAACUGAAUUUUGUAUUUUGUUAUCCAUUUUAAUUUGAAGACUAAUACUCAACUCAGUUACUAGAAAAUGUUUAAGUACAUUUGGAACAAUUUGGUUUUGUAAAUCUACUUUUUCAACUGUAAAUUGUUUGUAUGUGUGCCUGUGUAUGGCACUGAGGAUUGAAUCCAGGUCCUCAUGAAUGCUAAGCAAGUGUUCUACCAUUGCGCUACAUCUGCAGCCCUUUUUAUUUUGAGACAUAGUCUCAUGAAGUUGCCCAGGCUGGACCUUGUGAUCCUCUUGCCUCAGCCUCCAAGUAGCUGUAAUUACAGGUGUACUGCUUUGACUAAGUUCUAGGAAAUCUAAGUACAGUUUAAGUAUUUCUGAUAAAAAGCACUGUCUGUAUCUGUUGAGAUUUCUGAAAAUGUAAAAUACAUUCUGGAUUUUGAAUUUCAGUUAGUUUUUGAAAAUCAUCUUUUCUUUUUUAGACAUGAUCUCACUAAGUUGCCCAGGCUGGCCUCAAACCCAAUCCUCCUGCUCCAGCCUCCCAACUCGAUGGGAUUUCAGUUGUGUGCCAUGUCAUCAUUUUAAUCAUUUUAAUCUUGAAUGCCUGGCAGAAAAGAAUACCGUUUCUUGACAUCACUCUGGGCCAACCACUUUGCUAGGUGCUUUUCAGGUUAUCACACUUAAUCUUCUCAUUAACACACUAUUGGGCGUUAUUAGUUCUAUUUUUUUGGAUAAAGAAAAUGAAGCUCAGAGAAUGUAGAUGGCUGAAAAAGGAUAUCUGUAGAUACACAGGUGACAGAGCUGGGGUUUGAUAUUCCUGCCUGCCUCUCCUGAAUGUUCCUUUGGACCCUAGCUCACACCUGACAGAAGUGAGCUUCCACUGAGUAUCUGCUGUUGAAAGGUGACUGAAUAACAAAGAAUUGGUCCAGAACAUUAUACAUUAUGCAGCUGGUUUUUCAUAAAGUGCUCUCUCCAAAGGCUUUCAGCCUGGGGUGGUCUUGGCAAAGGCAGCAACUACUAGGCCUCGGUGGACUCCUAUGGUGUGGAGGCUGGGCACAAACUGUCCAUAAGCAAGGACUGGCUUGUGAAUGACUUCAGUGGGGUGUUUCAGCUGGACAUUCAUAAGGAUCCCCAUUGGGAUCCAUUUGAAGAGCCUGAGAACUUAGGAGUCUUUGGCUUGGCUCCUGUGAAGGGAGGCAAUUGGGAUGCUAUCUUAUGGUAUCUUCCCAGCUGGUCCCACCCUUCACUCUGCACAAGAGAGGACCCUGCCUGGCAGGGCUUAAGGGGAUUCAGUUGGCCCUCUCUAAUACUGACCCUGCAAAUGGAUCAAGGCCAAGGGACCCCCAAGGACCUGAGCUUCCUCUCACACUGAACUGCUGGUACCAGAUCCCAAAGUUCCUUAUCCAAGCUGCCCAAGCCACUUCCCUGCAUGUGGGCCUGUUCUGAGGAGCACUUGCAUCAUUGAUGGGUCAACCCACAGGCCACAGGGCUGUCCAAGGUGGCUGUUGGGGUUAGGUACACACCGAGCACACAGGCAUGGGCUAAAGUACUAACAUGGAUGCCAUUAGCCACCCCCUAGUACCAUGACCUUGAGGACAGAUCUCAAUUCACCAACAGAUAAGUAAGCACCGCCACAGAAAGAAGCAUGGUAACACCAACUGAAAGUCUGCUCCACCAUCUUAUACAACCCCUAUGAAAACACUCCAAUCUUAUGCUGACACAGGAAUGUGAAGAAAGACAAGUUGAUUACAUUAUUUGCUCUGGAAGCCAGUCUGCCAUAGUCUAACAAAGGCCAUAUGGGCCACUGGAUCAUUUCUCAGCACCCCUGGCCACCUGGAACAUUUUACAAUCAGAGCCUGAGCUCAAAGUACAGAGUAUGGAACAUCUUACUAGAAUCAGCCUAACAGCUGGGGAACUUCAAGAUGGCAGCCAGCUUGGAAGGGGAUGGGAAAAUAGACCAAACAACGGACAAACAAAACAGCAGGACUCCACAGGGCCUGGAGGCUAAAUACAAUUAGUUUCUGGCCUCCACUUUGUCUUCACACAUCCAGGCGUUCUGAGCACUACAACUAUUUUGGCAUAUCAGAAAGAGCACUGCACUAAGAGUCAAACUGGGGAGUUUCCAGUCCUGGCUCUGCAAGUGGCCAUGGUGAGUGGGGCUUUGAGAAAAUUUUAUUGAAGCAUUCCCUCCCAUCAGCUUCUCCUUUCUGUCCAAGGAGAGUGAGGUUAAGACUGGGUGUUCCUAGUCAGGCUAUUGUGAGGAGUGAAUGAGAUAGAGUAAAGUAGGUCAGAGUGCUUUGAAGCAUUUAAAACAUCACAGUAAUGUAAGAAGUUUGUGCUAUGGGAGAGCUUGGGAAUUCCCUUCCUUUCCUAGUAAGGAAAGGGAAGUAUGAAAAAGUCCUUGCCUGCUUCAUUUGGAAGAAAGAAUGUGAAUCCACCUAUUUUAUAUUGAUGGUGAAACACAAGAGAGUUGUGUAACAAGAACGCUGCAUGUGUCAUCAUUAUUAGAAAAUUAACCCAAGGUUUAACCAUCAAGUAAUGUGAGUGAGCUUUAAAUAAACACAUCUAAAUGGGUGUUGUCCCAUCCUUCGUAGUGAGUAGUUACCUUGGCAAGCAAAACACUCAUUUAAAUUGUGUUUCCCAUCAUUCAAAAAGAGAAUUUUUUAAACUCUUCCUUGGAACUGUUCCUGGAGCCUCUGGCACAUUCUUUGAAUAUGUCUGAGGGUGACACAUUUUUGUCCUAUGUGGAUUAUCUUGAUUUUUGUAAACAGCCCAAAGUUAUUUGGCACAAAGAUUGGUAAAUAAGCUCAGUAAUACCAUUUUUAAAAAUUGAAAAUAAACUAUGACUAUAAAGUAGAAGCCUAUCUUUCCAUGCCAAGAGAAGAAUUCAAACAGGAGCUUUUAUGAAUAGCAGUGUCAUUGGAAAGGGCUUGUUCUCUCCUAAGAGUGACAAGUGGAUAUCAAUGGGAGAUGUAUCUCAUUUGUAGUUGCACCUUUCAUUAUUUAUCUUGCAAAACUGUUUACUAUUAAAUUUUGAGUUUCCAGAAAGAACACUGCAACAAAUCAACUGUUCCUAUCAUUUUAACACAGCUCCAGGGGGCAUCUAAAUCCCUUUUACAUAUGGAUUAACUGGCUAGCAACAAUACAGAUGUUUCUGAUGAACUGACAUCUGGAUCUGUUGGAAACAGCACCCAGAAAAUUCGAUUCUAAUCAGUAGACAGAUUCCAUACUCCCUUAAAAAGUUUAGGCUUUUUUUUCACUUAUGAAAUGAUGCAACUGAAAAUUAAAACAGCACUAAUAUCAUUUCAGUAUAACCUGAAGAUUACUUCUGGUGCAAAUAAUUGUGAGCAUAUAAAAAUAAAUGCAAUGGUACUUUCAUUCAGUAGAUCUUGCAUACUGUGGGAACUUCAGUGUUAAAUAAUGCCAAUGACUAUCUAUGGAAAGUAUUUUUCCCAUAUUUAUUUUUCACCGCGGUAACAUUCCUAUAACAUAAAAGUCAUCAUUUGACCAUUCUAAAGUGUUCAAUUCGGUGGCAUUUGCUACAUUCAGGGUUCUGCAACCAUCACCACUAUCUAGUUCCAACACAUUUUCAUCAAAGAUAAUCUUGUAUCCGUGAAGCACUCACUCUUCAUUCUUCCCUCAAUCCCAGCCCUUGGCAACGCUAAUCUGGUUUCUGUUUCUGUGGGUUCGCCUAUUUUGAACAUUUCCAUAAUAUAUGUGGCCUUUUUUCUCACUGAGCAAAACUCCCCUCCUUCCCCCCAGUAGUAGGAACUGAACCCAGAAUUGCUUUACAAUGAGCUACAUUCCUAGACUUUUAAAGUGAAGGUCUUGUUAAACUGCCUAGGUGGGACUCAAAUUUGUAAUUCUCCUGCCUCAGCCUCCCUCAACGCAAGAAUUACAGGUCUGUUACACUGUGCCCAUCUCAGCAUAUUUUUAAAGUUCAUUCAUGUUGUACUAUGUAUCAGUACUUCAUUCUUUUGUGUGUGUAGUGCUGGGGAUUGAACCCAGGUGUUCAUAUAGGUGAGCAUUCUACCACUAAACUAUAUCCCCAGCCCACUUCAUUGCUUUUCAUGAUUGAAUACUCUCAUUGUAUGUAUAUAUUAUUCAUUCCAUGACGGGCAUUUGGUUGUUUUUGGCUAUUCUGAACAGUGCUGCCAUGAUCAUAGCCAUACGAGUUUUUGUUUUCAGUUCUCUGGAGUAAGAGUAGAAUUGCUGGAUCACAUGACAAGUCCAUGUUUAACUUUGUGAGGAACCACCAAACUCUAAUUCUAUGCUUACAACUUACAAAGUGUCUUGAUCAUCAGCUAGAUAAAAGUAGGAUAGCUACAGACAAACCCCGGCAGGGACCAAAGAGGUCUCUUUUUCAGAAUGAGUAGCUGGGCUCAGUCUGAGUCAGGCUUGUUCCAAAAUAAAGUUCCAUUCAGGGCCCUGAACAGCUUCCCUGCUUCUCUACCUGUUCCAACAUGAACUGGCUGGGCAGGAAUACCUUCCUGUCUCGUAGGCAUCCUUGGUUUUCCAUUACUUUGCACACACUUGGUGGGGAGUGUUAACUAGCCUAA